rnacentral:rRNA from 1 species
UGGUGGAGUGAUUUGUCUGGUUAAUUCCGUUAACGAACGAGACCUCGACCUGCUAAAUAGUUCGGUGAGCCCUUGGGCUCAUUUUGUGACUUCUUAGAGGGACUAUCGGUGGUUAGCCGAUGGAAGUUCGAGGCAAUAACA